rnacentral:rRNA from 1 species
UACAGAGGUCUCAAGCGUUGUUCGGAUUCAUUGGGCGUAAAGGGGUGCGUAGGCGGCGCGGUAAGUCGGGUGUGAAAUCUUGGAGCUUAACUCCGAAACUGCAUUCGAUACUGCCGUGCUUGAGGACUGGAGAGGAGACUGGAAUUUACGGUGUAGCGGUGAAAUGCGUAGAUAUCGUAAGGAAGACCAGUGGCGAAGGCGGGGUCUC